rnacentral:lncRNA from 1 species
GCAAGCUUCUUUAGCGCAUUCACAUCUUCAAACUAUGUGAAACAGCUUAAGAUGUAACACUUAUCCCCAGUUAUUAUUCUUGAUUCUUCUCACUCUGGGCUGAAACAGAAAAAGAAUGGUUUCUGCAGAAAGGCUCAAGUCAAAGGAGCAAACAGGCCAAAACAGGAAGAAAGAAACUUCACUGACUGUGGACAGCAAGACCAAGUAUUUCUGGGAGGUCACACUGCUGAUUAAGAUGUCUCACCUGCCUAAUAUUUCUCAGCUAAAUUGGAUGAAGCAUGAAGCAAGUCUUACAAAAAGUAUGUCUGCUUCCCCCACAGCACAACCUUGAAAAACACAUCUUAUUUCUAACAUACAUCUCAAGUUUCUGAGCUUCUAACAAUGCUGAGCAAAUAAGAUUCAGGUGGUUCUAAACCCUUCUUGAUGCCUUGUGCUGGCUGCAUUUUCAAAGCCAUUAGUUCCAUAACUCCAGCCAUGCCGCAGCCACUGGGGGCAAUGACUGCAAAGACGACAGGCCAAGCUCAGAAACCUUGCAUUCAGUGCACAAAAAACGUGGCUGCAUGCAGACUGUCUACUUAAAUACAUCUUAGCACAAAACAUUAUAGGCUGAGAGUUUCAACACAUUCCAACAAAAACUUGUGUCAAAAUCUUUGGGCUUCAGAAGGAGCCGAUUAGCUGGGCUUCUUUAGAUGCCUUUGAAAAUCUGUGAUUUAAUAAUUACACUCUUCAUCAUUUUUAUCUCUCUAUAUACGUAUGUAUGUAUAAAUACAUACACACAGCGUGCUCUUAACUGCCGUGCUGCUCCACACUCAGGUUAGCCUGCCAUCCUGCGGCUACAAGGAAAACAACGCUCUGUUUAACCUAACAUCUGUACACCGUCUGGAUGCACGCAAGCAUGCUAAUGUCUAUAUUAUAAUUUAGGCAAAAACAAAACAGCUCUUGAGCAAUGCAGACAAUUAUUUCACUUAAUUAGAUGUGGUGGGGUCUUGUAUGCUGAUUAGACAAGCUGGUAUAGAAUUGUAAAGGCAAACCAGCGUUACAAAUUAAGCAAAAUUAUUGUUAACUAAACUGCAGCAGGUAAUACUUUGCUCAAAACUGUAUCAGUAUCUAAUCUGAAAUAAGAAUUGCCAGGAUAGCUCUAGUAGGCAUUCUCAUAUUUUCAUGUUAACUAUUAGUUAGAUUUCUUCCAUAGGAAACAACCCACUCCUGCUGCAAGAGUAAAACUUCCAUGCAGUGGACAAGAGAAAAAAAAAGUCCCAUCAUACAGGAAGAUGAACGACUAAAGGAAUUACUUUUGCUCAAGCACACAGGAAUAGCAAG